AGUAACGGCGAGCGAACGGGGAAGAGCCCAUAGCCAAAGCUCGCGCCCUCGGGCGUGCGCAAUGUGGCGUAUGGGAGUCGGCACUCUCCGAGUGCGGCCUGCGGUGCAAGUCCCCAUGAGCGGGGCGCUCUACCCAGAGCGGGUGCAAGGCCCGUACCGCCGCGGGCCAGCGCGCGGAGUCGCCGAUCUCCCGGGAGUCGGGUUGCCUGGUAUCGCAGCUCAAAGUGGGUGGUAAACUCCACCUAAGGCUAAAUAUCCCCGAGAGACCGAUAGUAAACAAGUACCAUGAGGGAAAGUUGAAAAGAACUUUGAAGAGAGAGUUCAAUAGUACGUGAAACCGUUCAGAGGUAAACGGGUGGGACCACGAAGGCCCAGGUCGGUGGUGUACUCAGGUCGGUAGCGGGGACCCGUUUGUCCUUUUCAUGCGCCUGCCACGAGCGGUAGGCGCGGGGAUGGACGCGAGCCUCGGGCCCGUGCCGCACUUGCACCCCCCGUCCAGCGGGACGUCGCAAUCGGUUGGUCAACCGUGGUGCGGAAAUUGCCGGAAGGUGGGCGCCCCCCGUUCAUUCGGAGGGCGUUGUUUAUAGCCGGCUUUCCUUCCCGACAGGUAGACCGACCGAGGAGCUAAGACCUUAUUCAACGUUCCCAACGAGCGUCGCGACCCUUGGAGCGGUGCGAGGACUCGACUGUGGGUGCCACCUAACCGGUGAGCCCGAGCGAAGUCGGCGUUACUCGCUUACAAUUGGGUGUCGCGGGGAACCUGAGGUUUGCGGCGAGUAGAUCGGUAUCCCACCCGACCCGUCUUGAAACACGGACCAAGGAGUCCAAAGCGCGUGCGAGUUCCCGGGACUUGACCAGGCCCGAGGGCGCAAUGAAAGUGAGCGGUUGGGAUCCGCGCCAUCUAACGAUGCGCGGCGCACCAACGGCCCGUCGAUUCCGGUCUCGGAACGGCGGAGCCAGAGCACGCGCUUUGGGACCCGAAAGAUGGUGAACUAUGCCUGGGCAGGACGAAGCCAGAGGAAACUCUGGUGGAGGUCCGCCGCGGUUCUGACGUGCAAAUCGAUCGUCGGACCUGGGUAUA
rnacentral:rRNA from 1 species